rfam:Myotis lucifugus cont2.20610, whole genome shotgun sequence.
GGCCUCCCUCUGUGGGGCGAUCAAUUGCGGGGCUCCGUGAUCCACUGCCCAGCAGAGGGAGGCC